rnacentral:rRNA from 1 species
UACGUAGGGGGCUAGCGUUGUCCGGAAUCAUUGGGCGUAAAGCGCGUGUAGGCGGUCCGGUAAGUCCGCUGUGAAAGUCGGGGGCUCAACCCUCGGAUGCCGGUGGAUACUGUCGGGCUUGAGUACGGAAGAGGCGAGUGGAAUUCCUGGUGUAGCGGUGAAAUGCGUAGAGAUCCGGGGGGAACACCCGUGGCGAAGGCGGCCAGCUGGGCCGACCCUGACACUGAGGCGCGAAGGCGUGGGGAGCGAACGGG